rnacentral:rRNA from 1 species
GCACAAGCGGUGGAUUAUGUGGAUUAAUUCGAUGCAACGCGAAAAACCUUACCUACCCUUGACAUGCCAGGAACCUCGCAGAGAUGUGAGGGUGCCCGAAAGGGAACCUGGACACAGGUGCUGCAUGGCUGUCGUCAGCUCGUGUCGUGAGAUGUUGGGUUAAGUCCCGCAACGAGCGCAACCCUUGCCAUUAGUUGCGACAUUUAGUUGAGCACUCUAAUGGGACCGCCGGUGACAAACCGGAGGAAGGUGGGGAUGACGUCAAGUCCUCAUGGCCCUUAUGGGUAGGGCUUCACACGUAAUACAAUGGUCGGUACAGAGGGCUGCCAACCCGCGAGGGGGAGCUAAUCCCAGAAAGCCGAUCGUAGUCCGGAUUGUAGUCUGCAACUCGACUGCAUGAAGCCGGAAUCGCUAGUAAUCGCGGAUCAGCAUGUCGCGGUGAAUACGUUCCCGGGUCUUGUACACACC